rfam:Streptomyces sp. WAC00263 NODE_4_length_72737_cov_125.925873, whole genome shotgun sequence.
GGCUACAUACAACCGCUCAAAUAUAGGUUAAAGUACAAAUUGUAUUAUUAAUAAUGACAAUGUCACCUAUAUAUGGCGUGACUUAUUAUAUAG